rnacentral:rRNA from 1 species
ACAGAGGGUGCAAGCGUUGUUCGGAAUUACUGGGCGUAAAGCGCGUGUAGGCGGCUUUUCAAGUCAGACGUGAAAUCCCUCGGCUUAACCGAGGAACUGCGUCUGAUACUGUCAAGCUAGAGUGUCAGAGGGGAUGGCGGAAUUCCUGGUGUAGAGGUGAAAUUCGUAGAUAUCAGGAGGAACACCUGUGGCGAAGGCGGCCAUCUGGAAGACAACUGACGCUGAGACGCGAAAGCGUGGGGAGCAAACAGGA